GUGGUUUUAUUGACUUUUGAAAAAAUUGAUAUUCACUGAGGCCAACGGCCGAAGUGAAUAUCAGUUUUUUCAAAAGUCAAUAAAACCACACAUUUACC
rnacentral:sRNA from 1 species